rnacentral:rRNA from 1 species
CGAAUCCUGACACAGGGAGGUAGUGACAAGAAAUAACAAUACAGGGCUACUUCUAGUCUUGUAAUUGGAAUGAGUACAACUUACAUCUCUUCACGAGGAUCAAUUGGAGGGCAAGUCUGGUGCCAGCAGCCGCGGUAAUUCCAGCUCCAAUAGCGUAUAUUAAAGUUUGUUGCAGUUAAAAAGCUCGUAGUCGGAUUUCGGGUCGGGCCGAGCGGUCUGCCGAUGGGUAUGCACUGUUUGGCGCGGCCUUCUUUCCGGAGACCGCGGCUACUCUUAACUGAGCGGGCGUGGGAGACGGAUCGUUUACUUUGAAAAAAUCAGAGUGUUUCAAGCAGGCAGCUCGCUCUUGCAUGGAUUAGCAUGGGAUAAUUGAAUAGGACUCUGGUGCUAUUUUGUUGGUUUCGAACACCGGAGUAAUGAUUAACAGGGACAGUCAGG